GGGAGCUCUGCGGGAGAGUUUCCUGCAAGAUUUAACCGUGUAGAAAGUGGCUGUAAAUACGAGGCCAAAGACGUUCCAUGGUUGCUAUGGAGAUGUGGAGUCUUGCGGUAGAAGAGCAUGAAGAGCCAUCAGAGUCCAGUGGAGGGUCAAGGGCGGGCCACAGACCUCUGGCUUUCUGCUCCAAGCUCCAACUCCACCCCAGAGCCUUCGCCUUCAUUGCAGCUCUUCAGUGACACGUGCAUUUGUGUGCACAGAAAGAGUGAGUACGUGUGAACCAUGUGUGUGUGCGUAUAUGCACAUUAAUGUGUGUACAGUGCUUGUGAGCGUAUAGGGGUUAAUAGUGAGAGCACGGCCCCACUGCGGCCUCA